UACGAAGGGGGCUAGCGUUGCUCGGAAUCACUGGGCGUAAAGCGCACGUAGGCGGAUCUUUAAGUCGGGGGUGAAAUCCUGGAGCUCAACUCCAGAACUGCCUUCGAUACUGAGGACCUCGAGUCCGGGAGAGGUGAGUGGAACUCCGAGUGUAGAGGUGAAAUUCGUAGAUAUUCGGAAGAACACCAGUGGCGAAGGCGACUUACUGGACACAUACUGACGCUGAGGUGCGAAAGCGUGGGGAGCAAACAGG
rnacentral:rRNA from 1 species